CCUACGGGGGGCAGCAGUGAGGAAUAUUGGUCAAUGGACGAGAGUCUGAACCAGCCAAGUAGCGUGAAGGAUGACUGCCCUAUGGGUUGUAAACUUCUUUUAUAUGGGAAUAAAAUGUUCCACGUGUGGGAUUUUGUAUGUACCAUAUGAAUAAGGAUCGGCUAACUCCGUGCCAGCAGCCGCGGUAAUACGGAGGAUCCGAGCGUUAUCCGGAUUUAUUGGGUUUAAAGGGAGCGUAGGGGGAUUGUUAAGUCAGUUGUGAAAGUUUGCGGCUCAACCGUAAAAUUGCAGUUGAAACUGGCAGUCUUGAGUACAGUAGAGGUGGGCGGAAUUCGUGGUGUAGCGGUGAAAUGCUUAGAUAUCACGAAGAACUCCGAUGGCGAAGGCAGUUCACUGGACUGCAACUGACACUGAGGCUCGAAAGUGUGGGUAUCAAACAGGAUUAGAUACCCGGGUAGUC
rnacentral:rRNA from 1 species